UUCUCUGGGAGUUCUAAUGUGAGGCGUCGCUCGCCCUCUUCUCUCUCUCUUGCUUUUUGUUUCUUGCGCUCUCACUUGCACUCAUGCUGGGGGCGCCCUCGCCAGCUGGCAUGAUGCAACACUCAUCAUCGCCGCCGAUGACAGGCACAGCCGUAGAAGCAGCCAUCUACAUGGAUCGCCAUCUCGGGGAUAAAGUGCGCCUCACUCUCGAGAACUGCCUCCAAGACAAGCCGUGCGACCCUAUUAGAUUUUUCGCGCACUCUCUUCGGCAGCUGGCUCAACAGGAUGCCGCCAGCAAUCAGGAGCCGGUGCGUGCUGGAGCACCAGCUGAGCGACUGCAAGCCGAACCUUCUAAACACUUUCAGUUGACGGCCUCACCUUCAGUCCGUCUGGAGAACGGCGUCAAGUAUGAACUGCGUCCGCUGGCACAGGACUUCCGCUGCGCCUCAGGCAUGCCGCCGGCGGCAGAGGCUACCGCGCCGCCGCCCGUUUUUCCAGCCGUACAUUAUCGAGAGGCCAUCCCGUCAUAUGAGGUCGCUUCGUGUCUGCGGCAGCUUCACAUGAUAGAUCCAGUGGCACCACUACUACUUUUCAUCGAGUGCCCUGCUUCGUCUUCUGGUGCUUUUUUCUACCAAGGCGUCGCGUACCGCUGCAGGAACUCCACCGGGAAGCCUGCCGACCAGACGUCGCCGCCACUCAUCGCAGCCUUGCAGGAAGCUCUGGGGGCUGAAAAAGUAGGUGACUUCGACACGGAGAUCCGCGCAGCAGCCGCUGAGGCAGCAGCUGCGGUGAAAGUGAACUUCCUCCGCUCCUUUCAGGGAGACUACCUCUCCAUCUUCGAUACGCUCGAUGACGCGCUGAAAACGGCGACGCAUGUGACAGACGUCUCCACAGCCGACAGCCCCACAAAUCCGCCUCGCUGGACGCUUCCAUCCGUUCUUUUCGUGUCCUACAAGCCGGAGUCAGCGCACCUCACAUACGCACGGUUGCUCGCCAGCUACGGCCCUCUGUACGAAGCCGCGCAGCGAGCAUCCUUACAGGCUUACCGCACCGCCCAGAUGAAGCGGAAACGGACGUACACUUUCGCCUACGCGAGGGAGUACUGGGCGAAGGUGCAGCGGCAGCGCCAUGCAUCCUCCGGUGCACCGCGCACGGUGAACUCGGUGGCUAAGUGGUCCUCCUCCGUUGACUCCAAGACACGCUCUGACCAGCCCACCGGGCCUAUCUCUCUCGGCGACAGUGCGACGCCAAUCACAGCCGCUGAAAAUUUUACUGCUGCAAAACCUGUCAAGCGUGGAUUGUUAACCUACAGUGCAGCGCAUCAGGCGGAGGAUGACGUGUUCCUCAUCGUCGUGCGCCGUCUCGAGCAUGCGGCAGCAACACUCAUUCAGUCUGUUUAUCGCGGCUACCGCAGGCGCCGCAGCUACACGGAGGCGCGCGAGGCGCUUCAUUGCGCCUCAGGCGCAGUCGGCACCAACUCACCUCUCAAAACGAGCCUGAAAGAUGCCAGGAUGUCACAGUCGUCCGAGGACGUCAUCCUGCCGCCCCUCUUGCGCGCCUGCCUCGAGCGUCUUUUCCGCGAAGGUGACGCCUUCGGCUCUCUUUGGGGUGACUAUGUCAUUUCUCCCGCACCGGAGAGCCGGCGCUGCUGGAUCUAUCGGCCAGUCCAACAUCGCGAAGGCGGCGGAGACACCGAGCAGUCGGGCAACGACAGCGCCGCGGGCGAGCACGUUAGGGAAGGCUGGGUGCAGGAGGAGUUGCUGCUCCCGCCGUGGAGGGCGACGCAGCCGCGGCUGCACUUGAACUUGUUUCAGCGCUUGAGAGACUAUCUCGCCCUUGCGCAGUGCACUUCGCUUCACGAGAACGUGCAGCUGCUGAUGGACAGCCCGGGCAUGUCAGUGUUGCAACGUCGAGCCUAUGAUGGAAUCAAGUCAGUGUGCCUCAAUCUGUUUCACGUGGCUUACGCAGAGCUGCGGCAACGUCACCCGAAAGGGCUACCGACGUCGUUCUCUGCCUACAUGCGUCAGAUGCACGGCGCCGUACUUGGGUGGCUCUCCACUCCACACAGGUGCUCCCUGAUUCUUCGGGCGGUGCAAACGACGACCGCCGAUGCAGUCCAGGAUGCACAGCAGGACAACACCCGUAGCCGAGGAGUGUGCAGUAGCCACAGUGCGACAGAGAGGUCGAUGAGUCGUGUUGUGCGCGACCAACUCGCUGCAAACGAGGCCUUGUUGAUAGCCCCGCACUCUCUAUCAGCGAGCGACACUGCCGCGCCUGCGGCGACGCUGGCGGAGCCGACGGUGUUGAGCGUUGCGCCUCAACUCUACAUUUCACAGCAGCCGCUACUCCCCCGAAAUGAGUGGGUUCAAGAAGUGACGGCGCUGCUGCAAAGUACGCGUGACCGCAGCGCUGACGCCCCCUCACCGUUUGUUGAGUGGAUGACCACCGCUAGUUUUCCGCUUUGCUGCGUGGACGGUACACCGGUGGCCGCGGUGCUGCGCCUCGACACGCAGCAGGUCGAGGGUGCUCCGCCUUACGACUCCUUCGUACCUCGCCUAGGGGGUGACACACGACAGCUGACCGGCACGCGCGCUGCGGAAGGUGCCGCCGCCGGCGACAGCGUGGCACCGGCCUCGCUGGCUGUGCAAGCCGCCGCAGCGGUACAGGAGUGGAUGCAGGGUGAUCUUGCAUGCGCCGCAGACGCCGGCCUGAAACACCACAUUCAGGAAAGCCUUUCCACAGAGAGUGGCAUGGUGUACUACAGGGCACGAGUGCGCAAGGACGGCACGGCCACCGAGGCCUUCACAACAGUGUCGCCAUCGGCUACGUUGGUAAGGGAGGUGCUGCGCCAAAACCACAAGGACAGUGCUGCAGAUCCGUGCGAGGGGAGGACUGGUCACGAGGUUAGCACCCCGCCCUCAGAGCUUAGCGGGAGUGUCUCUGCUUCCGCCAACCCGUGGCACUGCUCUGUUCGAAGCAGUGAGGAAUGGGACCCGGUGAUAGGGAAGGUGGCGCAGGAAAGUUCCUCGGCGGCGCGGCGUAGCUGUUCGUGCACUUCCUCCAUCGUCACCACAUCACGAACCAGCGCCGGCGCAUUCAACUCUAGCCGCACGACGGCGGCACGCGCUUCUAUCAAUGCCAGACUUGAGAUGCGCUCUUUGGCUGUCCUGCCGAAUGUCGAGUUAGAGGCAACUGGCGAGCUGUCGAAGCAUGCAUUUCGAGUUCUCACAGCAGACGACGUCGCUAAGGAGGUGAGUGCCGCACUCUCAGAGAGUCCAUUUAAGCACACGCGCGUCUCGAUGCGCUUCUUCGCCGGACCCACAGUCCUCGAACACCUCGAUACAUUUCUUGACCGCGUUGCCGAGGCUCUGCAGAAGGAGGCGCACUCGCCCUCGCUGGUGCUGGCCAUGGACUUGCCGUCGCAGAGCUUUUACGCGCUUGCCGCCGCGCUUCUCGCGUUCCGGCUGCACGACAUGCGUGAGAUCCCCGUCAGGCCCCAUAAAAAGUCAAGAGCAGCACCCGAAGGCUCCCCUAGCGCACAGCUUGGUGGCGUGCCAAGUGACGUACAUGUUCCGUUUCUCUCAGCGUUUCACAACGUGCUAGAGGCGGCGCUGCCCACCCCUUCCGGUUCACGGACGGCGAUGCAGAGCACAGCAGUUCAAACUGCUAUACAGCACGUUUCACACGUCAUGAACUGCGCGCCGCUCCCGCAGCUAAACCUGGUUGCGCUUCUUCGCUCCGCGGUACAGGAGGCGGAAGCGGCAAUCAAGCCGUCGCAUGCCAUCGUUCGCGCAACCCAAUUAGCGGAGCAGUACGCGCUGCUGGUGCUCCUCGACUACUACCUGUGGUCCUCCCAGUCCUGCUUUACACCGGCGGAGCCAUCGCUAGGCAGCCGCAGUGGCAUGGUGCGUAUGGUGGGAAACUGCGCUUUCGCCGCGUUUGUGAGCAGAGUGCCAGCCGCGCUCGAGUGGAUGGCGCACGUUGAUCCGUGGAAGACGUCAAGUCCGGACCCACUGCAUCUGCGGUACUCGAAUGCGCUGCGCCGCUGGGAUGACAAGCACUACGUCUGCUACGGCGCAUUCUAAGUUGCUGGUACCGGGAGCGAUGCGACGGGAUGCGCGGCAUGCGCCGAGUCGUGUUGUGGUAGCGCACGCCCUACGUGCUAACGGCAAGGGAAGAAAAAAAAAAGGAUGUAAAAAAGACAUAUGGAAGCUCUCAUUUUCGUUCCUUUUCGAUGACGGGGCAUGACAGCUGUUUGCUGCGUUGCGCUCGCCGGUUCUUCCUGGCUUGCGCUCCGACGUGGUCUAUCGAUGCGCAUGUUUUGUUUUGUGUGUGGCGCCGUACAUCCAUAUUGUUUCACCGUUCUCUGCGCAUGCAGAGGCGACAGAUGUCCACUUGAUGUUUACUAGGCUCAAUGCUGCAGAGUGGACUUUGUCUCUCUCUCAUCUUGGGUGCGUCUGCGCAAGCCCGGCUGUCGAGUACGUCCAUGCGUGUGUGUGUGUGUGUGUGUCUACUUGAACGGGCUUUGUGGUGCUGUCAAUCCUGUACCCAGAAGGACGGCUUGCAGCGCCACCGGAAGCACCACGUCGUGGAUGCAAGCAUAAGCUGGGCGAAAUGCAGCGAUCCACGUCUGUCUUUUCUGUGUGUGUGCAGCACAAAGGAGCGUGAAUGUGCACGACUGCCUUUCUGCAUUGCUCACUUGCUACU
rnacentral:misc_RNA from 1 species